rnacentral:rRNA from 1 species
GAUAAACGCUGGCGGCGUGCCUAACACAUGCAAGUCGAACGCCCUUGGCAACAAGGGAGUGGCGGACGGGUGAGGAACACGUGGGUACCUACCCCCAGGUGAGGAAUACCGGCGAGAAAUCGCCGACAAGACCGCAUAGCCUUGUGGCAACACAAGGAAAGCCCGCAAGGGUGCCUGAGGAUGGGCCUGCGCCUGAUUAGCUAGUUGGUGGGGUAAGAGCUCACCAAGGCCACGAUCAGUAGCUGGUCUGAGAGGAUGGUCAGCCACACUGGGAUUGAGAACGGCCCAGACUCCUACGGGGGGCAGCAGUGAGGAAUUUUCGUCAAUGGGGGCAACCCUGAACGAGCAACGCCGCGUGCAGGAAGACGCUUUUCGGAGUGUAAACUGCUUUUCUGAGGGACGAGAACGGACGGUACCUCAGGAAGAAGCCCCGGCUAACUACGUGCCAGCAGCCGCCGUAAAAC